ACAAAGCUGCUUGGUUUUGUAAGAUGAGAAACCCAGUCCUCAGGUGAGACUACAGAUUCUCUUCGCCUUCAGCGGCAUUUCUGUGUCAUCUGUGAUGUGGGGGCCCGUGACGUCCCCACCACGGCCGUGGGACUCGUUUCCAGGUCUCCCCUCGGGUCAUCUGUGAGAAGCCGCUCAGAGCACGUAGCCUGUCAGUGUCCAGCCAUCCUUUCCUGCCCUGGGGCUCUUGGGCACCGGCUUUUCUCAGUGCUCCCUUCCAGUGCUCUGCACCUCGGGUCACCCCAGUGCCUCCGGCGUUUGCCCCCUCGGCCUGGGACACAGCCCAGCUCUCAGCACCUCGCCUCGCCUCCUCCCACACCAGACCAAACCCACUGCUCUCCGCAGCCUCCUGACGCUGGCGUGGCCCAGGGGACGGGUCCCAGUGUGUCAACCUCAUAGCAAUGACUCAAAUCUCACACUUCUGUGGGUCCAGGUGCUUCCCCCUGCAUCCUCCCGCUGCCGACUCCCAGCUACCCUGUCAGCUAGAAAGAUCUGUAUUACGCCCUUUCGCUCGCGUGGGGACGAAGGCUCAGAGAGAAGGGAACACAAGGGGACACCGCUCUCUCCUCCGGAAGGGACCCGCGCCAGGCACCAAGCCAGCUGCUGCGUCUGGGCCCAGAUGAAAUGCACGCAGCUGCGGGUGUCCCCCAGAGGCCGACUCCGGAACCCCACUGUCUGACCGCAGAGGAAGGGACGUGCGGUAUCCCCUGCGAACCGCGUCUCCAGAGCUGUGCCAGAGGCUCGGGAAUCUGAGAGAUGCAAGGAAAACACUAACAGAAUGUUCACAUCGUGAUGGAACGUCUACCCUGAGUCCCCGUUUCUUUUCUAUGCCAGACAAGGGUGGUCGGGACCACUGAGACCGCAACCGGACCACCCGGGACCCCUGCGCCCCCUCCAGAACUGGGAGAAGUCAGGCCGGCUCCGUUCACCCUCCGCGACCAGGGCUGCCUCCUCCAGGGUGCCAGUCCUGCUUGGCUAUCUGUUGACCCCUGAAAGUCGCCUCUCCCUACUUGUUCAGUCGGUUCCCAUCCUGCUGGUGGCUUCUGACACUGUGUUUCCCCACAUCUGUGCAGAGGCUGAGCGGAAGGGAGGAAUAGGGCGGGUGAGGGCAACUCCCGUGGCCCCAGGAUGCGGUGGCCCACCCCGGGGGCCCCUUUCCUCCCCAGCACAGAGUCGCAGACUCCCCUGGGGCUCGCCAGAGGAUGCCUCCCUCCAGACCCACCGGGGCCUCCCAACUCCAGCCGCUCGUGGGUCACCGUGUGUAAGAGGCCGUCCCCAAACCGGUGACCCCCUCCCUGGGUUGCGCACACCUCCGGUUCUGUGCCCCGCAGGGCUCGUGCAGCGCCAGCACCCGGUAAGCCACCCCUCCCAUCAAGGUCGCCCCCCACACUUUCCCUUCUGACCUUGGGGAGGCUUCGGGCUUCCCCGAGGAGCUCCAACCCUUCCCCUGGCGGCAGCCGGCCGCUACCCCGGUGACACUGUGCGCUUUAGCCUCUGCGGGCUCACCCGCCAAGCGGGCGGGCGGCAUCCCCCCCCUCGCUGGGGUCCCGAUCGCUCGGGACGACGGUGCGUAUGAAAAUGUUUCGUCAGCUUGCACAACCAUACAACGCGCAUUAGGGCGUACCUUUACAGUUUUAUUCUUUAUGGUAAACACAGUUUAUUAUAAAAAUACAUAUAACUUAUCAAGAAGCUCUUAAAGGGCUUCCUCUUGUUUAAUAUACCUCCCGACGUCCCCCCAUUUGCUGUCUUUAAAAUUGUCAUAGUCUUGCAUUGAAGACCACUGUGACCUCCGCUAUACCGCGAAGGUCACCGGUUCAAAGACAUCGCAGGGGAAUUCAUGUUCUAAAGUCAUACCACCGGUUUCUUUUGCCAGUAUACAUUCAUUUUGUCCCCUUUUUAAAAAAUUUUUUUCACGUUUAUUCCUUUUUUUGAUAGACACAUUUUUUUGAUAGUGAGUGGGGGAGGGGCAGAGAGAGAGAGAGGGAGACACAGAAUCUGAAACAGGCUCGGGGCUCCGAGGUGUCAGCACAGAGCCCGACGUGGGGCUCGAACUCACCAACCGAGAGAUCAUGACCUGAACCGAAGUCGGACCCUCCACCGACGGAGCCACCCAGGCACCCGUUUUUUGUUCACUUGUAAAAAUGUACAGAAAACAGAAAGAAAAUAGACGGUAACUCAAAACAGGCUAACGAGGACUGACUUGUAGAAAUUCUCAGGCUCUUUACUUUUGAGGAAGAACAAGGACUUAUGACGGUUCGUGUCCCCACUGUUUACGUGCUGACCUCCCAAAGUGUUUUUAGAAGACUGAUCUGUUCCUUCCGCCCUUCGGUCUCUCAUGUUUCCUCUGUUAGACAAAGAUGCUCUUCAGCCUAUGUAAUGUUGAGCAUAAAUCUGAAUUCGCGAGGCCUCACGUAAUAAAACUCGGCUCUCCUUUAUGCGUGUGGCAAAAUGCACACUAAUAUAAACACCUAAUAAAACCCACACUAUCAGCCAAACACAACAAAUGGAGGCAAUUUCCCUCUUCUGCACACGAAAGCCCUGAUUAAUCCCGCACCCUCCUGGGUAGCAUCUAGAGGCUUUUCGCCUUUCGUUUUACCUGUAAAUAGCAUUCAUGUAUACAACUGUCUUUCUGAACACCAUGCUUUCAAAAAUGACUCGUCUGUGAUUCAAAAUCCAACAAUCUCUGGAGCUUUUAAUCUCACGCAAUUUUUUUUUUCAGUUUUCUUUUGUUCACGAAUGUACUUACAAUUUGCUUUGAGGUACCAAGUGUUAAAUAAAGCAUAAACAAAACAUCCCUUAGGGUCAUAAAGAAGCUUACGACACAUUCCUUUCUUCCACUCAAGCCCUUGUAUUAUAUUAGUUUCCAGAGUCUUCCCCUCUAGAAACAGUCAGCUUCCAACUCUCCCUGAACAGUAACUCACUAGAGGGACUCAGUGAGGAGAAUGAUUGCUCCCCAAAGUCCACAGUGUUUCCAAAGCCACGUUGGAACAUUCAUAUUCAUCACAUCACAGGAAAUAGUUUUUUUUUUUAAAGCCUUGAGCACAUUAUCUUUAGUUAAUUUGUAUGGUCUUCUCCAUUCCAGCAUCCCAUUUUUAUUUUGAUCAAUUAUAUUCUCAAAAGAGUUUGUUUUUUUUUUUAAGGUGCUAUCCUCAGAAAUUCAGUUUAAAUUAAAACAAAAACUGUUUACGUUUCCUUUGUUUUAAGGCACAACCAUUGCUGGGGGGUUGGGGGAGGGGUGGAGGGACAGAAGGAACUUCCUCACCUGUUCCUGUCAUUUAAAAAAAUUGUAAAUCCAGUAUAGUGAACAUACAGGGCUACAUUAGUUUCCGGUGUGCACUAUAGUGAUUCGACAAGCCCGUACAUUGUUCGGUGCUCAUCAUGAUCAGUGUACUUAAUCCCCAUCACCUAUUUCCCCCAUCCCCCACCCACCUCCCUUCUGGUAGCCAUCAGUGUGUUCUCUAUAGUUAAGAGCCUGUUUUUUUUGUUUUGUUUUGUUUUGUUUUUUGGUGUGUCUCUCUUUGUUUUUUUUUUUCCUUUGUUCAUUUGUUUUCUUUCCUAAACUCCACAUACGAAUGGGAUCACAUGGUAUUUGUCUUUCUCUGACUUGUCUCACUUAGCAUUAUGCUCUGUAGAUCCCUUCAUGUUGUUGCAAAUGGCAAGAUUUCAUUCUUUGUUUUAUGGCUAAUAUCUCUUGUAUAUAUCACUUCUUGAUCCAUUCGUCUAUUGAUGGAUGGACACUUGGGCUGCUUCCCUAAUUUGGCUAUUAUAAAUAAUGCUGCAAGAAACACAGGGGUGCAUAUAUCCUUUUGAGCUAUUGUUUUCCUAUUCUUUGGGUAAAUACUGAGUAGCGCCAUUACUGGAUAAUACGGUAAUUCUAUUUUUAUUUGUGGUGGAACCUCCAUACUGUUUACCACAGUGACUGCACUAGUUUGCAUUCCCACCAACAGUGCGUGAGGGCUCCUUUUUCUCCACAUCCUUGCCAACACUUGCUCUUUCUUGUGUGUGUGUGUGUGUGUGUUUUUUUUAUUUUAGCCCUUGUGACAGGUGUGAGGUGGUAUCUCAUUGUGGUUUUGAUUUGCAUUUCCCUGAUGAUGAGCGAUGUUGAGCAUCUUUCCAUGUGUCUGUUGGCCAUCCCUGUGUCUUCUUUGGAGAAUGUUUGUUCAUGCCUUCUGCCCACUUUUUAACUGGAUUAUUUGCUUUUCUGGUGUCGAGCUGUAUAAGUUCUUUUUAUAUUUUGGGUACUAACCCUUUAUCAGAUAUGUCCCUUGCAAAUAUCUUCUCUCACUCAAUGGGUUGUCUUUGUUGUUGUUGUUGUUGAUUGUUUUCUUUGCUGUGCAGAAGCUUUUUUAUUUUGACACUUUUGUCUUCUCCGGUCUCAGGACACAUAUCUAGUAAAAUGCUGCUACAUUCGAUGUCAGAGAAGUUACAUUGACAUAAGUGGGGUGUUACAGUCUCCUACUGUUAUUGUAUCAGUAUCAAUUAUUUCCUUUAUGUUUGUUAUUAGUUGCUUUAUGUAUUUGGGGCUUUCGUGUGGGGUGCAUUAAUAUUUACAAUCGUUAUUUCUUCUUGAUGGAUUGUCCCCUUUAUUAAUAUAUAGUGCCCUUCUUGGUUUCUUGUUACGGUCAUUGUUUUAGAGCCCAUUUUGUCCCAUCUAAGUAUUCCUACCCAGCUUUCUUUCACUUCCGAUUGCAUGAUGAAAUCUUUUCCAUCCCUUUGCUUUCAUAUCUGCAAGUGUCUUUAGGUCUGAAAUAAGUCUCUUGUAGGCAGCAUAUAUAUGGGUCUUGUGCUUUUUUUUUUUAUCCAUUAAGUCACCCUAUAUCUUUGAUUGGAGUGUUCAGUCCAUUUUCAAAGUAAUUAUUGAUAGGUAUAUACUUAUUACCAUUUUGUUCCUUGUUUUGGGAUUGUUUUUUUAGUUCCGUGUUUCUUGCUUCUCUCGUGGGUGAUGGGUUUCUUCAGUGAUAUACCUGGAUUCCCUUUUGUCUUUAUUUUUUGCAUAUCUGUUACUGGCUUUUAAUUUUUGGUUACCAUUAGGUUUGUAUUUAACAUCUGACGCAUCUAUCAGUCUGCAUUAAGUUGAUGGUUGCUUAAGUUUGAACCCAUUCUUUACUCCUCUCCCCCACGUUUUAGGGAUAUGGUGUCAUAAUUUACAUCCUUUUAUGUUCUGUAUUAUUUGAAUGAUUUUUAAAGACAUACUUAAUUUUACUGCCUUUGUGUUUCCUACUGUUUUUACUCCCAUUUAUGGCCUUUCCUUUCCACUCAAAGAGUCCCCUUUAACAUUUCUUUUAAGGCUGGCUUAGUGGCGAUGAAUUCCUUUAACUUCUGUUCAUCUGAGAAACUCUUUAUCUCUCCUGUUCUGAAUGAUAACCUUGCUGGAUAGAGUUUUCUUGGAUGCAGAUUUUUUUCCUUUCAGCCCCUUAAAUAUAUUACACCAUGUCCUCUGGUCUGCAAAGUUAUUGGUGAAAAAUCAGCAGAUGGCUUUGUGGGCUUUUCCUUGUAGGUAAUGGUUUCCUUUUCUCUUGUUACUUUUUAAAUUCUCUCUUUGUCACUACUUUUUGCCAUUUUAAUUUCUAUGUGUCUUGAUGUGGACCUUCUUGGGCUGAUUUUGUUUGGGGCUCCCUGUGCCUCCUGGAUCUGGGUUUCUGUUUCCUUCCCCCAGAUUAGUGUGUUUUUGUCUUCAGUUAUUGAGUUUUUUUAUCCCUGAUUGGUUCUUUUUCAUGUUUUCUAUCUCUUUAUCGAUGGUCUCACUGAGGUCCUCCACUCUUUUCUCAAGUACAUUGAGUAUUUUUAUGACUGCUGCUUUCCAUUCUCUAUUGGGCAUAUUUCUCCAUUUUGUUUAGCUCUCUUGCUGUGAUUUUGCCCUGUUCUUUCAUAUGGAACAUAUUCCUCUGUCUCCUCAUUUUGACUAGCUCUCUGUGUCUGUUCCUACGUGUUAGGAAAGUCAGCUAUGUCUCCUGCUCUUGAAGGCAGUGGCCUUGUGAAGAAUAGGUCCUGUGCGCCUAUGGUACACAGUCCCCUGUUCUCCAGAACCUGGCGCUUCAGCGGUGUCUCCUGUGUGUGUUGGGUGCACCCAACUGUUGUGACUGAGCCACAUUUUCCCUCAGUCCAGUUGUCUGCGAUAGCUCUCUUUGCCUUCUGUGAACAAGGUUUGGUCCCUGUGUUAUUAGCAGGUCGGUCUGAGGCUGCCUUGGCCUUGAGCUAAAUCAGAGCAGACAGUUGGCAGAGAUGUAGUAACCCUGAACUGCAGGCUCCUUUCCCUUUGUUUUCCCCUGAGAAUCUUUCACUGGUGGGCAGGGUCAGCAGGCAGAACAGAUGUCUGCCUCAGCCCCCUACUGGGACCACAGUCAAACUGAUGUACGUGCUUAUCUUCCCCUCUUCAUGGGGCUAGAGUCACGUUGGAGUGGUGCUGGCCCCCUAUUGGGGAUGCUUGCACACUAUAGGCUUGUGGUAUUGCUUUGGAUGGGCUCCAGCCAAGGACAUAUUAGAGAGGGAAGGUCUUCAGGAGAAGUGGGGGAGGGGACAUGGUUCUAGCAAAGUUUUGCAUGUCUAAUCUGUGAAGGGACCUGGAACCACCUUAGAGGCUGCAGUGGGUGGAUUCACAGAAGCAAGGAAAGGCAUGCUAUUGGAAAGCCAGACAGAGAAUGUUCCUGCUGUGCUGGUUCCCUAAGGGGCCCUUGUUUCUCAGGGAGCAGGGGAAAAAAAAUGGUACCCACUGUCUUUUUUGUUCUUGGAGAGGUCUCCCAAAGAUCCAUGUCCUUUAGGGGUGUCUGGGUGGUUCAGUCAGUUUGGUGCCCGACAUCGGUCAGGUCAUGAUCUCGCAGUUUGUGGGUUUGAGUCCCGCAUCAGACUCUGUGCUGACAGCUCAGAGCCUGGAGCCUGCUUCGGAUUCUGUGUCUCCCUCUCUCUCUGCCUCUCCCCCACUCAUGCUCGCUCUCUCUCUGUCUCUCUCUCUGUGUCUCUCUCUCAAUAAUAAAUAAACAAUAAGAAAAUAUUAUUUAAAAAAAAAAGAUCCCUGCCCCUUUAGCACAUAUUCUGAGAUUAGUAAAUAAAUCUCCCAAAUAACCCAAGCAUUUUUCAAAUCGCUGCCUCUAUGCUGUAUCUCAGUGGUUUGUUUGUCAAGCUGUCCUUUUAAUGGCAGGGACUCAGUUUCCUUUUGCAUUCCUGCCUCUCCCAGAGCCCAGCUUGCUGAUUUUUGAAGUUCCAGGUAUUAAGCCCUACUGAUGGUAAGAACACCCCAAAUUUGGCCUCUCUGUUUUUCACAGCCAAAAGUUAUGGGAACUCCUUUUCCCUGUGCAGGUUCCCUGUGCCUGGAGUGCCUGGUGUGAGGGUCUAUUUCUCUCCCCUCUCGAUGGUCACAGUAUCCCUCCCUCUCGUGGACAGUACGUUUAGCUCUCAACCAAUCUCCACCUUUCCUACCCUCUUCAAUGUGGUCUCUUCUCUACAUUUAGCUAUCGAGAGUCUGUUCUGCCAGUCUUUGGGUUGCUUCUCAAUUAUUUACACUAAUGUGGGUAUCAUCCAGUUGUAUCCAUGGGACAAGAUAAACUUAGGAUCUUCCUACUCUACCAUUCCUCAGAAGUUUGUUCCUGUCGUUUUUAAAUGCCAUGCUGCUUUUACAUUUCUAACCCUUAACAAGUCUCGUUGUCAUGAUACCCAGCGUUUCCCCAGCUCUGGCCUCCCAGAGCACUGUUGUUCAGUAGAUACUCCCUAUAUAAAUCCAAGGUAUUAUUUCCAAGUAGCAGAAAAUUCAAAAAAAAUACCAGGCACUUACUUGAAUUUCUUUGUCUAGAAGGACCCUAGAGUAAUAAGUAGAAGUUUUUAAAUAACCUUUUUCCAUCUCUGCCUACACCUUAAAUCAGAUUAUUUGAGCUCCCACCAGCCACGUGAACACCGGGACCUGCAGGUGGGAAUGGGCAUGAGGCAGAGAGGGCUUCCCCUUAGAGUUAGAUGAAUAGGCAGACAUCUCUACUCAUCACCUCUGUCCUCCCUACACCCACCCUCCUCCCCGUCUUCUCUGUCUUUCCCAUUUUAUCAUGCCUAACUACUCACCUAACUGGGAGAUUUAACCCAGAGUCACCAACCUGGCCUCCAAGAAUGUUGUGAGGCAGAAAUAAUAGCAACUUCAUUUUUCAAAUAAGUAGCUAGAAACAUAGAAAACCACUUUUCGUGCCAUCAAAGGAUAUUGUGGUAGGAAGGAUAUCCAUGGAUUAUAAUGAGCAUAGAGAAGAACUGAAGACAAGACGUUGGCAAGAUCUAGAAACAUCAGCUGUUUCUCAUCCCAAUGCCCUUUUAACUCUACGGGGUCCUCCCGCAGGGGAGGUGGCUCUAGAGAAUGCUCUGGGGGGUACAGGCAAGCGCCCUCCUUCCUCUCUGCUCAGUCGUCAGUGAGGUUACUCCAGGACACAGGCCUGGAGACCUUCAGCCAUUCUUUCUCCAACUGCUCUGAAAAGUGAGUCUGCUGGGUAGUGACAUCCAUAUUUUUAAAAUUAAUUUAUGUUCUACUUGGAUUUUCUCUUUUUCCUGUCCCCAACUGUUUUUGACAAUUAGUAAAUAAAUCUCUGAAACUUAGAAAUCUCAUUUUGGCAGGUUGAAGGUAUAAUAUUAGUUAUAUGUGUUAUAUUAAAAAGAAACAUAUUGCCUUUCAGUUGUAGGUGAUUGAACACACCAUGGUGUAUCUAUGGUUUGUAGAUGAUUAAACAAACCAUGGCAUAUAUAUGGCAAUAAAAAAGAAUGGAAUGGAUACAUGCAUUUGGAUUAUGCUCAGAUGCAUUAUUCUAAGUGAAAGAAGCCAGCCUCAAAGGGCUACAUACUGUGUGAUUCAAUUUACAUGGAGUUCUGGGAAAGACAAAACUGUAAGGAUAGAAGACAAAUCAUUGGCCACCAAGGGUUGGAUAGAGAGGUUGACUACCAAGAGGUCUGAGGGGAUCUUUUUUUUGGAUGGAAGUCUUCUAUAUCUUGAUUGUCAUGGGGGUCACACUAUUGUCUGCAUUUGUCAGAAUUCAUAGAACAGUACGCUGUAAGGGGUAAUUGUACCCUGUGUAAAUUAUACCCCCCCCAAGAGAAAUGUAUCUAAUUUCAUCAAAUUAUGGGUCCAUUUCUACACAGGUCCCCUUGCCACAAACCUUCAUUAUAAACCAAUUCUUUGAUUCAAGGAAUUAAGGAAUAAAGGACUUUCAUAUAAUAGAAUAGAUUUCAAUAUGGUCCCUUACCAACUCGUAUUACAAACAAAAUCCUCAGCCAUAGUCUUCCCACAUUUGCUACCACUUUCCUCCCGUAAUUGCCCCCACAUGAUCCCUCUUACCAGGCAGGACUGGACUCCCCCUGCCUCAAACACUCAGAGCUCACUCCUCCCUCUGUGCCUUUUCCCUGUUGUUGCCCUGUCCAGAAGGGCUUUCCUUUUCGCUCUCUUCUUCCUCUACCUGAGCUCAUUUCCAGCAUCAGUAAAUACCCAGGAAGUGUGUGUCCUAUGUGCAAAGGAGACCAUAAACUAGAUAGGAAUCUUUUCCCCAAAGAGCUGAUAAGCUAAGUCAUAUAGAUCCAGGAAAUAGAAUUUAUGCCAACAUAUUAGAAGUGUUUUGACAGAAUUAUUUGUGAAUUGUAUAUUCUUUCAGCUCAUCGGGGUUAUCUAUUUUUUUUAUGUUGAAUACUUAUUACACUGGUAAUAAGGGAAAGCAGAAAUUAAGGACUUAAUAAGUGGUUUGGACCAGAGAUUGUCAGCCUUUUGAAAGUGACAACUAGACAUUAGGAUGUCAAAAAUCAGAAAUUGUCACUAUCAAAAAAGAAAUUGGUGGGAGGAGAUGGCCUGUGGAAUCCAUUACAAACGGCAGACACAUCUAUGUUAAUCUGCAUUGGUGCUCCUCAUUCACAGUACGAAUCAAGCUGAAAUAUCAGAUUGGCUCAUUGGAGAGCACAGGGAAAUUGACUCUCGGAGAAGUGUAAUUAAUUGCAAUGAGCAGAUCCUAGGAGGGAAAAUAUAACAGACCUCACCACGCCUGUCCUGUGUUUCGUGUAAACUACAGCUCAGUUCUGUUUUCAUUCUUUAACCAAGUCACAACCAUCUUUUGGUUAAGGGGAAAAAAAUGUUUUCCUUCUUGCACAAUUUGCACUAGCACAAAAGGAGACAUUUACAUUGGUUUAUCAUUCAGAGCAUAACAAAUCCAUUUGACUCACAACAAAUUUCAAUACGAGCUGCUUUUUAAUAAGAUCUAAUGUGAUACAUAUCAUUGGAGGUUACUUAUAAAAUGAAGUACAAAGGAUACAUAAAAAUAUUCUAUUAUACCAUCACCUAGGUACAACUAUUGUUAACAUUUUGAAGUAUGUCUUCCUAGUCUUUAGUUUAUAUACAUAUUUAUAUAUAAUAACUGGGAUCAUAUUAUGUAUAAGAUUUUGGUAGUCUUUCAGUUAUUAUUAUAUCAUAAAAAAUGUACCCCUGAUAGUAAAAAUUUUUCAAAAAUUGGAUUUUUAAUAUGGUAUAUGUAGUAUUUCAUCACACAAAUGUAACAAAGCCUAUUGACAUCUCUUUCUAAUCGUUCACUAGAAUUAAUACCUUUGUAUAAUUUUUGUCCACAUCUCUGAUUAUUUUCAUAGAAAAGAUUUAUUUAAGUGUGAUACAAGGGUAUAAACAUUUUUGAGCCUCCUGGCGCAUGUUGUUAAAUUGCCCUCCUUGAAAGUAAUAAAUUUACACUAACAGUGUAAGAGUUUGCCUGUUUUCUCGACAACUGUACCACCUGUUAGAGUAUUUGUGUUAGAAAUCUGCACAGUGGUCAAAGGUGGGAUAAUUUGAGCACCGAAAGAAAAAUGCCCACUCAUGGUUGAAAUACAUCAAGUAUAUAACAGUCUGAAUUCACAAUGAAACACAGAAAAUAUCAUUGUCACCUUAUGAUCUUCAAAAUAUACUUUAAAGAAAUCACACAUCUGUCCUUUCUUCCCUGCGCAAACUGUAUUUCAGACUAACUAAAAAGAUGAUGUGGGAAUCGUAGCUAUAAAUGUGAAAGGAAAAGAAAAAUUGAUAAAAUCAUCAUUCUUUUUUUUUAAUUUUUUUAAUUUACAUCCACAUUAGUUAGCAUAUAGUGCAACGAUGAUUUCAGGAGUAGAUUCCUUAAUGCCCCUUACCCGUUUAGCCCAUCCCCCCCCCACUCCCUCCAGUAACCCUCUGUUUGUUCUCCAUAUUUAAGAGUCUCUCAUGUUUUGUCCCCUUCCCUGUUUUUAUGUUAUUUUUGCUUCCCUUCCCUUAUGUUCAUCUGGUCUGUGUCUUAAAGACCUUAUAUGAGUGAAGUCAUAGGUUUGUCUUUCUCUGACUAAUUUCACUUAGCAUAAUACUCUUCAGUUCCAUCCACAUAGUUGCAAAUGGCAAGAUUUCAUUCUUUUUGAUUGCCGAGCAAUACUCCAUUGUGUGUGUGUGUGUGUGUGUGUGUGUGUGUGUGUGUGUGUGUGUGUAUACCACAUCCUCUUUAUCCAUUCAGCCAUCAAUGGACAUUUGGGCUCUUUCCAUACUUUGGCUAUUGAUAGUGCUGCCAUAAACAUUGGGGUGCAUGUGUCCCUUCGAAACAGCAUACCUGUAUCCCUUGCAUAAAUACCUAGUAGUGCAAUUGCUGGGUCAUAGGGUAGUUCUAUUUUUAGUUUUUUGAGGAACCUCCAUACUGCUUUUCAGAGUGGCUGCACCAGCUUGCAUUCCCACCAACAAUGCAAAAGAGAUCCUCUUUCUCCGCAUCCUCGCCAAUAUCUGUUGUUGCCUGAGUUGUUAAUGUUUGCCAUUCUGACAGGUGUCAGGUGGUAUCUCAUUGUGUUUUUAAUUUGUAUUUCCCUCAUGAUGAGUGAUGUUGAGCAUUUUUUCAUGUGUCGGUUGGCCAUCUGGAUGUCUUCUUUGGAGAAGUGUCUAUUCCUGUCUUUUGCCCAUUUCUUCACUGGAUUAUUUGUUUUUCGGGUGUUGAGUUUGAUAAGUUCUUUAUAGAUUUUGGAUACUAACCCUUUAUCUGAUACGUUGUUUGCAAGUAUCUUCUCCCAUUCCGUCGAUUGCCUUUUAGUUUUGCUGAUUGUUUCCUUUGCUGUGAAGAAGCUGAUGAGAUCAUCAUUCUGUAGUCCUCAUGAAAUCAUGGGUAGAGACAAUGAUCAUUAGUAGAUGUCCAAACUCUCAAUGAGAAAUUGUUGGGGACCUUUAUAAUGGAGGGAUCCAAAUGACAUCACAUGAGCUCAUCCAUCAGUCUUAACAUCACUACGAAUGGUACAAGUGACAUGUGUACCUUGGGAUUUGACAGAGAGGAAGCAGACAGCAUCACUUGUGAGCAGUCCUACUGAAAACAUUGAACUGGAAUCUAAUCAAGAUUUUAUCUAAUCUAGAUCUUCCUAUUAGUUUAUAGGAAAUAUAAGAAAUAGAAAAACAAGUUAAUCAACCACCUGAAGAAGUAAUCAGCCCAAAUCAGAAUGUGGAAAGUUCUAUAGGAUAAAUUUUCAACAAAUAAAUAGUAUUUGUCGACGGAAAUACUGGGGGAGAGCAGUGUGAUCAACUGAUGUUGAAAAGUUCUGUGUGGAUGAAUCUGUGCUUUUAAAAAAUGAAGAAAUAACAGAGUAAGAAAGUCUUAUUUGUUACAUCAUGGAAAGCCAAUAUCAUACGACGAAUAUCCUAUACAAACUCUCUUUUUUGGUGGUAGAUUAUUCUGGGUAUUACUGGGUUUUCUUUGGCCAGAAUUUUAAAUGUUUUCCCUAUGUUUCUGAUUUUCUGAGAAUAUAUAUCAGUUUGCAAAUUUUAUAUAAAGCAUUAAUAAGAAGACUUCUGAGUUAGUCAAGAUGACAUCACUGUAUUUGAAAUUGCAAAAGGUCAAUUCAAGCAGUUUGGGUAGUAACCACCAGGUGGCGCCACUUUCUAGUUUUUGGUUUUUUUCUGACCCCAACAUCAAACAUCUCUUCUGACUUCAACAGAAAGAAAUAAGGAUAUAACACAUUAUUCACUCAUGUACCUUUUCUAUAAAACCAUAGCUCCCAACUGAGUAAUUUUGUACAAUGAUCAAACUUUAACAUUUAUUGACAAACCUAAAUCCACUCACGGGCCCUUGUCACUAAACACAACUGUUUCUAAGGACUGUCCAACCAAACUUUUUUCUCAAGAACAUGUAGUUCUUUUCUCACCUUUGGGAUUUCCCCAGGAUCUAUAUACAUCUGAAAACAUUGCUUCAUACUAUACAAUAAUGAAAUUAUGUUUCUUUCUUCCGUAUGGUGAGCUUCUUGGAGACAAAUAUGAUUUUAUUCCUCUAUGUAACCUAUGGUUGGCAACAUUUGGUUCACAGUAGCUCAGCAUGCGUACACAGAGAGACCGCAGAAUCAGGAAGGGUAUGAAGUGCCUCCCCGACUCUACGUGUUGUAAAUCUGAGUUCCUCCUGCCAUGACUAUCUUUCUUGCCAAGAUGAGACAUUUUUCCAUUUCUCCACAUAAUAGAGCCUCAGGACAAAUCAAUUA